GGAGGAAAAGAAACUAACAAGGAUUCCCCUAGUAACGGCGAGUGAAGCGGGAAGAGCUCAAAUUUGAAAUCUGGUGGCCUCAGGUCAUCCGAGUUGUAAUCUAUAGAAGUGUUUUCCGUGCUGGCUCAUGUACAAGUCCCUUGGAACAGGGCGUCAUAGAGGGUGAGAAUCCCGUCCUUGACAUGAACUACCAGUGCUCUGUGAUACAUUUUCAACGAGUCGAGUUGUUUGGGAAUGCAGCUCAAAAUGGGUGGUAAAUUCCAUCUAAAGCUAAAUAUUGGCGAGAGACCGAUAGCGAACAAGUACCGUGAGGGAAAGAUGAAAAGCACUUUGGAAAGAGAGUUAAACAGUAUGUGAAAUUGUUAAAAGGGAAACGAUUGAAGUCAGUCGUGCUCUUUGGAUUCAGCCGGUUCUGCCGGUGUACUUCCUUUGAGUGGGGUCAACAUCAGUUUUGAUCGCUGGAUAAAGGCUGGAGGAACGUAGCACCCUCGGGUGAACUUAUAGCCUCCUGUCACAUACAGUGGUUGGGACUGAGGAACGCAGCACGCCUUUAUGGCCGGGAUUCGUCCACGUACGUGCUUAGGA
rnacentral:rRNA from 1 species